CCUACGGGGGGCAGCAGUGGGGAAUAUUGCACAAUGGGCGCAAGCCUGAUGCAGCCAUGCCGCGUGUGUGAAGAAGGCCUUCGGGUUGUAAAGCACUUUCAGCGGGGAGGAAGGCGGUGAGGUUAAUAACCUCAUCGAUUGACGUUACCCGCAGAAGAAGCACCGGCUAACUCCGUGCCAGCAGCCGCGGUAAUACGGAGGGCGCAAGCGUUAAUCGGAAUUACUGGGCGUAAAGCGCACGCAGGCGGUCUGUCAAGUCGGAUGUGAAAUCCCCGGGCUCAACCUGGGAACUGCAUUCGAAACUGGCAGGCUAGAGUCUUGUAGAGGGGGGUAGAAUUCCAGGUGUAGCGGUGAAAUGCGUAGAGAUCUGGAGGAAUACCGGUGGCGAAGGCGGCCCCCUGGACAAAGACUGACGCUCAGGUGCGAAAGCGUGGGGAGCAAACAGGAGUAGAUACCCGAGUAGUC
rnacentral:rRNA from 1 species